rnacentral:rRNA from 1 species
GAUGAACGCUGGCGGCGUGCCUAAUACAUGCAAGUCGAGCGAACGGACGAGAAGCUUGCUUUUCUGAUGUUAGCGGCGGACGGGUGAGUAACACGUGGAUAACCUACCUAUAAGACUGGGAUCACUUCGGGAAACCGGAGCUAAUACCGGAUAAUCUUUUGAACCGCAUGGUUCAAUAGUGAAAUACGGUCUUGCUGUCACUUAUAGAUGGAUCCGCGCUGCAUUAGCUAGUUGGUAAGGUAACGGCUUACCAAGGCCACGAUGCGUAGCCGACCUGAGAGGGGGAUCGGCCACACUGGAACGUGACCACCGGCCAGACGCCUACGGGAGGGAGCAGUAGGGAAUGUUACGCAACGGGGGGAAGCCUUGAGGAACAAAGCAGCGUGGGUGACGGAAGGCUUCCGAGCGGUAAAACGUUUUUUUAGGGAAAAAAAAAUUUGGAAAGAACCAUGCCCGACUUGACGGUAACGAAUGAGAAAGCCACGGCUAACUACGUG